rnacentral:rRNA from 1 species
GGGAAUCUUCGGCAAUGGGGGCAACCCUGACCGAGCAACGCCGCGUGAGUGAAGAAGGUUUUCGGAUCGUAAAACCCUGUUGUUAGAGAAGAAAGUGCGUGAGAGUAACUGUUCACGUUUCGACGGUAUCUAACCAGAAAGCCACGGCUAACUACGUGCCAGCAGCCGCGGUAAUACGUAGGUGGCAAGCGUUAUCCGGAUUUAUUGGGCGUAAAGGGAACGCAGGCGGUCUUUUAAGUCUGAUGUGAAAGCCUUCGGCUUAACCGGAGUAGUGCAUUGGAAACUGGGAGACUUGAGUGCAGAAGAGGAGAGUGGAAUUCCAUGUGUAGCGGUGAAAUGCGUAGAUAUAUGGAGGAACACCAGUGGCGAAGGCGGCUCUCUGGUCUGUAACUGACGCUGAGGUUCGAAAGCGUGGGGAGCA